AGAGUUUGAUCCUGGCUCAGGACGAACGCUGGCGGCGUGCCUAACACAUGCAAGUCGAACGCGUCUGUGCUUCGGCACAGAUGAGUGGCGAACGGGUGAGUAACGCGUGAGUAACUCCCCUUGGGGAGGGGGAUAACCAUCUGAAAAGGUGGCUAAUACCCCAUAUUCUCUUUUCUCAUAAGAGGAAGGAGGAAAGGUGGCGCAAGCUGCCACCCCGAGAGAGGCUCGCGUCCCAUCAGCUAGUUGGUAGGGUAAUGGCCUACCAAGGCUAUGACGGGUAGCUGGUCUGAGAGGAUGGUCAGCCACACUGGGACUGAGACACGGCCCAGACUCCUACGGGAGGCAGCAGUGAGGAAUCUUGGGCAAUGGGCGAAAGCCUGACCCAGCGACGCCGCGUGGAGGAAGAAGGCCUUCGGGUCGUAAACUCCUGUUUGGGGAGAAGAACAAGAGAGAAGUUAAUAGCUUCUCUCUCUGACGGUAUCCCCGGAGAAAGCUCCGGCUAAUUACGUGCCAGCAGCCGCGGUAAUACGUAAGGAGCGAGCGUUGUCCGGAUUUACUGGGCGUAAAGGGCUCGUACGUGGUUUCUUAGGUC
rnacentral:rRNA from 1 species